rnacentral:misc_RNA from 1 species
GCCGAGGCUAAAUUUAAACAUGCUAAGGAGGCAAGGGAAAGAGAGCGAGAUGCAAAGUCUGCUAAAGGUAGAGAGCCUGAACGUAAAGAAAGAUAUGAGAAAGCAAUGGCCAAUACCCAAUAUCCAGAAGAAGAUGAAGAGAAACAAGACAUAUUGGCUCGGGAACAAGAGCAGAGGGAAAGGGACGAGAAAGAAGAGCAAAAGAGACGUCAAAA